rnacentral:rRNA from 1 species
GCUAUACAUGCAAGUCGAGCGGACAGAUGGGAGCUUGCUCCCUGAUGUUAGCGGCGGACGGGUGAGUAACACGUGGGUAACCUGCCUGUAAGACUGGGAUAACUCCGGGAAACCGGGGCUAAUACCGGAUGGUUGUUUGAACCGCAUGGUUCAAACAUAAAAGGUGGCUUCGGCUACCACUUACAGAUGGACCCGCGGCGCAUUAGCUAGUUGGUGAGGUAACGGCUCACCAAGGCAACGAUGCGUAGCCGACCUGAGAGGGUGAUCGGCCACACUGGGACUGAGACACGGCCCAGACUCCUACGGGAGGCAGCAGUAGGGAAUCUUCCGCAAUGGACGAAAGUCUGACGGAGCAACGCCGCGUGAGUGAUGAAGGUUUUCGGAUCGUAAAGCUCUGUUGUUAGGGAAGAACAAGUACCGUUCGAAUAGGGCGGUACCUUGACGGUACCUAACCAGAAAGCCACGGCUAACUACGUGCCAGCAGCCGCGGUAAUACGUAGGUGGCAAGCGUUGUCCGGAAUUAUUGGGCGUAAAGGGCUCGCAGGCGGUUUCUUAAGUCUGAUGUGAAAGCCCCCGGCUCAACCGGGGAGGGUCAUUGGAAACUGGGGAACUUGAGUGCAGAAGAGGAGAGUGGAAUUCCACGUGUAGCGGUGAAAUGCGUAGAGAUGUGGAGGAACACCAGUGGCGAAGGCGACUCUCUGGUCUGUAACUGACGCUGAGGAGCGAAAGCGUGGGGAGCGAACAGGAUUAGAUACCCUGGUAGUCCACGCCGUAAACGAUGAGUGCUAAGUGUUAGGGGGGUUUCCGCCCCUUAGUGCUGCAGCUAACGCAUUAAGCACUCCGCCUGGGGAGUACGGUCGCAAGACUGAAACUCAAAGGAAUUGACGGGGGCCCGCACAAGCGGUGGAGCAUGUGGUUUAAUUCGAAGCAACGCGAAGAACCUUACCAGGUCUUGACAUCCUCUGACAAUCCUAGAGAUAGGACGUCCCCUUCGGGGGCAGAGUGACAGGUGGUGCAUGGUUGUCGUCAGCUCGUGUCGUGAGAUGUUGGGUUAAGUCCCGCAACGAGCGCAACCCUUGAUCUUAGUUGCCAGCAUUCAGUUGGGCACUCUAAGGUGACUGCCGGUGACAAACCGGAGGAAGGUGGGGAUGACGUCAAAUCAUCAUGCCCCUUAUGACCUGGGCUACACACGUGCUACAAUGGACAGAACAAAGGGCAGCGAAACCGCGAGGUUAAGCCAAUCCCACAAAUCUGUUCUCAGUUCGGAUCGCAGUCUGCAACUCGACUGCGUGAAGCUGGAAUCGCUAGUAAUCGCGGAUCAGCAUGCC